CUUAGGAUCAGGAGGGAUUCUGGGCAGGGGUUUAAUGGGACUGCCGUGCAGUUAGGAUGUUACAUUCUUCUUCUCAAAGUGGCCUGGAGCAGCAGUUUUUGAAGGACACGAGUAUUUUGGGUCGCACGCAGCCUUCUCUCUAUUCCUGAAGCCUCACGUGGGGGGAAGGGGUUGGCUCAGUCGGCUUCCUGGUCUCCCACGGUUUAAAAGGUGAAAAGUCAAAAUAAUAAUAAUAAAUAAAUAAAUAAAAAUAAUAAAAAAAAGGUGGAAAAGAACAUAUUUGUUUGCAUAUCUCUGUUCUCUGCUCUGCGGUUCACGUGGACUUCCCUCCAGUUGUCACAGCCUCUUCCAUCUUAAAUCUGAAUUUCAGGCAACUUCGUCCUCCCUUUUUCCUGCUCUCCCAGCUUUGGCUGUUCAGCUCAAGCUCGGGGAAAGGUCUUCCACCUUGACAUACACGUUUCAGGGAAAACUGAGAAAGCCAAAGUGCUUUCAGCGCCCAGCAGCGCGGCAGCGCUCCCAGCCCUGGGCCCGGGGACAGGGGUGCUGGGGACAGGGGUGCCGGGGACCUGCGCGCCGCGGCCGCACCUGCCCCUCAGGCCCCAGGACCGGCCCCGACAGCUGCCUGCGGCGAGAGGGCAGCGGCCCCGGCCUGGGGCGCGAGCGCUGCGGGGCCGCGGAGGGAACGGACCGAGACCGCAUUUCGGGCCCCUCGGGUCUCGGAGCGGACCCCGCACCCGCACCCGCGCCCGCACCCGCCGCUGGGCCCAGCGACGCCCGCUCGGCCGAGAGACAGCUGCCCGGCGCAGGGCUCCCGGCGGGGCCAGCCUGUGCCUUCGCAUCCGGCCUAAGUCAGCCUUCAAGCCCUACCUCAGACCCCCUCAUUCCCGAGCCUCGGGUUCUGAGACGCCUCCAAGCACUGUCCCUAGGCCCUGCCUGGGGUCCCACCACCCAGGUCAACCCGGAGGCCCCACCACCUGGCCCUGGCUGCCAGCCCACUGCUCGCUCCCUGGGCUCACAAAUUGCACUUCCAUGCCCACCCAAGUAGCAUCAAGCUGUGUUGACUUAGGGGGCAAAUGAGCAGCCCACCCAGUCUCCUUGGGAACAGGGCCCGCUACGGGAAGAAGAUGGGCAGUUUAGUACAAAUGACCAGCAGUGCUGACCAGUGGGCUUGGAGGAAGCCGAGGGCAGACCAGUGAAGAAAGAAGAUGGCCUCUGGGAGAAUGGAGGGAGACGCCACCUGGAAGAGCAAAGAGGCCUGUGGAAGCACACCUCGGAGUCACGGCCAGACCGCAGGUGGGUAGACUCUGAGCGGGAGCAAUGUCAGGCCCUCUGUGAGGGUCCCUCAGACCAGCCUCUCCUCUCAGGCAGUCUCCCAACUGCUCCACCCCUCUCUCCAGUCUUCAAGGCAGACUCAGGCCUAUAUGCAAGGAAAUUCCAGAUCCUACUGCAUCUCCUAUAAUACGCUCAAUAUGCCGCAAAUUUAAAAUCAGUGAGGGAAAAAAUCAAGUAAACAACAAAAAAAAUAAUAUAAAACAGAGGGUUUUUCUGGAGCCACGGUAAGAUGGGAAAGGAGCACAACAAAGGUCUGAAGUCAGGCCUUAUGGUCUCUGCACCAUAUUUUGGUUUCCAAUAAGGCGGACAUGGUACAUUUUGCUCAAUUUUCCACUCCUAAUCACGUUGAGAACGUCGUGGAGAAGGGGCUUUCAUUCUCCUGAAUGGAUUUUAGAGCUGGAAUCCAUUUCAUGAAGUAUCGCUCCUUUUCCAACUGGACUCGGACCUGGAGGUUGCCAGUCCUGUUCACAUGUGGCCCCAGCUGGGUCAGAGGGCUGAGCGUAAGCUCCGGGUCAGGACCCCAUGUGGCCCAUCACCCGGAGAGGAGAGCUCGGAGCCAGAGCGUACUUGCCACCGGGUAGGUAGCUCAAGCUGGGAGACAUCCGGGAGAGACUUGGGGGCCCAGGGUCUUUUGAAAGGGCCUGGGGCGGGGAGUGACAAGGAGAGGGACGGGGAUAAAGAUACAAAGACACAUAGAACUCAUCGGUUAUGUAUUGGAAUCACACUCAAAAAGGGACAGAGUAAAGGAGGUAUCAGGUCACAAAAGUCCAGCUGCGAAUGUCGAGCCCAAAUCGUGAAGGAAGACUUUCUGUUUAGGUGCCAGUGAAAAUGCCACUGAUGAAAGCUUAUUUCAAGGAACCUCUUAGCCUCCUUGGAAUUUGAAAUAGAGGCUUUCAGAAAAGUGGGGUGUCUGAAGCUGACAUCUAGGGCCCCAUAGCAAAUCUCAGCAGGUUUUUUUUUUUUUUUUUUUUUGGUGUGUGCCAUCGUGACCACUGUCUGAACAAACUAGGUCUUGCUUGUUGGUCUCUCUCUCUCUCUCAUAAGCUUACCGGCUUCUCCGCUCUCUGCUCCCCCACACCCCACAACUCGAUGGGGUGAGGACUAUGACAGAGUCUCCCGGCCUCCCUCUAAAUUCCCUACUUAGCUAAAGAAUGUCCCACAGAGUCUAACCUGCCUGGCCAGCUUUAUGACACGGCCACUAUCAAUCUUGCCCUUAAGGGGACAUUUGUUUAUGACCCGAUGGGAAGAGCUAAUGGCUUCGUGAACCCAUUCCGCAAGGAGGGGAGAGGAGUCUAAAGAGAAGGCUCUGGGACAGCAGGCGGGAUCCGGGAGUGAGAACUAGGCUCAGAAGCAAAGGGGGCCUCUCUCUAGGAGCUGUAAGAUGGGAGCUGAGGAGAGAAAGAAACUGUUGCUCCCACCACCUUGUGUCCAGGGCCACUGGGGGACAACACCGAUACGGGUGCCCGGGACCUGUCCCCCUCCUGGGCAGCCCGGCCAGGCAGCCUGGACCUGCAGAGGAUUCAGGGCCUCUCUUGGAAUUUUGCACCAUGAAGGACAAAACUAAAAGCCCUCCACCUUAAAUAUGACACCCCCUCCCUAGGGAACAGGGUGGGAGAGCAAAGGUCCUAUGUCUCUUCUUUACCUAUAGAAGUUCAGGGGAGCCUGAUGGGGCUAUAAGGCACUCUUGUUUCCUGACCCCUGUUUCUGACCCCCGCAGGAAAUAGCCAAGAGCUUACAGACCACCAGCACAAUCGAGCCUUAUUCCUCUGCAAACAUCGAUUAUUAAUGACACAAACUGCGUGGAAUGAUAAAUUGUAAAAUGCAUGCUUGUUUGCAUGCAGCCUGGUGAAGAAAGCCCUGCUAACUACAUAGCCCUGGAAAACAGCACGCGUUCCGACCACGCGUACAAUAUGCCAAAAUGCUAGUUUUUAUAUGGCAUGUAACAUGCUGGCAUCUACUCGCUCACUGUAUAAAUUGCUAAGCAAAUAAAUGCACCCAUGCUACAUAAAGCA
rnacentral:lncRNA from 12 species